rnacentral:lncRNA from 1 species
AGUGGAUCCUGCCCCCUGGGAGCUGCUUCGCUGGAGGACUCACACCAAUCUUCAUGAACUGUCUUUUGUGGGGUUUCUUGAGUUCCAGCAGGGCGUAGUCAUAAUCCAUGCCGAUGUCAUUGGCAUUGCCCUUGAUCCACCCCUUGGGCACAUGGGUUUUCCCAUCGUGUAUGCAGUGGGCAGCAGUGAGGACGUGCUUCUCUGCCACCAGGGUGCCAGUGCAGCCAGUAGACAACUUCACCGAUGUUGAGAAAGGAUAAUUGAGCAGGAAGUCCUUCCCAAAAAUGCUAAACCUGCCAUCGUAGCCAUAAAUCUGCCUCUUCCUGCGAGAUCUCCCUGUGGCCUCCGAGUCUCUGCCUCGUGCCCUGCCUUCACCAUUGCUGAGGAUGUAGAUGCCCACCCGAGUCUCUGUGCGGCUGCCAUUGGCAUAAAGGGUUUCAUAGGAAAGGUACUGCUUGGCCUCUUCGUAGGUGGGCAGUGGUGUUCCCUUGUGACACUGAGGUCCACAUGAGGAGGACACCUCCAAUUUCGCUUUGGCGUCGAAGUCUGCCUUAGCUAAGUUGAGGGUAGACUGAGGCAAGACUACAGGGAGGCGAUAAGCCGGCCAUGUGGGUUUCCACGGAACGGUGUAGGGACUCACCUGCAUGAACACACAGAGCAGGACAAGAAGGAUGAAGAGCCCCGGGAUUCCAGCCAUGCUGAGUGCUACUGUAGAAACAAAGACAAGAAGUCAGGAGGAUGAAAGCUAUACAGUUCAUUUACUGCAGCCUGGCAGGGCACAGCCGCACGCUGGUCAUGUUUCUAAGACUGGGAACAUUCCUCAGGUUCCAAGCGAGAGCCUCCCUCAGGGUGUGGCUGAAACAGCUGUUGGAUCCUGAAUAACCAUCUUCACACUUCCAUACAAGUAAAUAAUUGUAGAUAUUUGAAUUAUGCUGCAAAAUAAAGGGUCAAUGUUCAAGAUAUAAAGCUUUAAAC